rnacentral:rRNA from 1 species
UGUCUGAAUAUGGGGGGACCAUCCUCCAAGGCUAAAUACUCCUGACUGACCGAUAGUGAACCAGUACCGUGAGGGAAAGGCGAAAAGAACCCCGGCGAGGGGAGUGAAAAAGAACCUGAAACCGUGUACGUACAAGCAGUGGGAGCACCUUCGGGUGUGACUGCGUACCUUUUGUAUAAUGGGUCAGCGACUUAUAUUCUGUAGCAAGGUUAACCGUAUAGGGGAGCCGCAGGGAAACCGAGUCUUAACUGGGCGUUAAGUUGCAGGGUAUAGACCCGAAACCCGGUGAUCUAGCCAUGGGCAGGUUGAAGGUUGGGUAACACUAACUGGAGGACCGAACCGACUAAUGUUGAAAAAUUAGCGGAUGACUUGUGGCUGGGGGUGAAAGGCCAAUCAAACCGGGAGAUAGCUGGUUCUCCCCGAAAGCUAUUUAGGUAGCGCCUCGUGAAUUCAUCUUCGGGGGUAGAGCACUGUUUCGGCUAGGGGGUCAUCCCGACUUACCAACCCGAUGCAAACUACGAAUACCGAAGAAUGUUAUCACGGGAGACACACGGCGGGUGCUAACGUCCGUCGUGAAGAGGGAAACAACCCAGACCGCCAGCUAAGGUCCCAAAGUCACAGUUAAGUGGGAAACGAUGUGGGAAGGCACAGACAGCCAGGAUGUUGGCUUAGAAGCAGCCAUCAUUUAAAGAAAGCGUAAUAGCUCACUGGUCGAGUCGGCCUGCGCGGAAGAUGUAACGGGGCUAAACUGUGCACCGAAGCUGCGGCAGCGACACUAUGUGUUGUUGGGUAGGGGAGCGUUCUGUAAGCCUGCGAAGGUGGCCUGUGAGGGUUGCUGGAGGUAUCAGAAGUGCGAAUGCUGACAUAAGUAACGAUAAUGCGGGUGAAAAGCCCGCACGCCGGAAGACCAAGGGUUCCUGUCCAACGUUAAUCGGGGCAGGGUGAGUCGACCCCUAAGGCGAGGCCGAAAGGCGUAGUCGAUGGGAAACAGGUUAAUAUUCCUGUACUUGGUGUUACUGCGAAGGGGGGACGGAGAAGGCUAUGUUAGCCGGGCGACGGUUGUCCCGGUUUAAGCAUGUAGGCGGAGGUUCCAGGUAAAUCCGGUACCUUUUUAACGCUGAGGUGUGAUGACGAGGCACUACGGUGCUGAAGUAACAAAUGCCCUGCUUCCAGGAAAAGCCUCUAAGCAUCAGGUAACAUUAAAUCGUACCCCAAACCGACACAGGUGGUCAGGUAGAGAAUACCAAGGCGCUUGAGAGAACUCGGGUGAAGGAACUAGGCAAAAUGGUGCCGUAACUUCGGGAGAAGGCACGCUGAUAUGUAGGUGAAGCCCCUGCGGGUGGAGCUGAAAUCAGUCGAAGAUACCAGCUGGCUGCAACUGUUUAUUAAAAACACAGCACUGUGCAAACACGAAAGUGGACGUAUACGGUGUGACGCCUGCCCGGUGCCGGAAGGUUAAUUGAUGGGGUUAUCCGUAAGGAGAAGCUCUUGAUCGAAGCCCCGGUAAACGGCGGCCGUAACUAUAACGGUCCUAAGGUAGCGAAAUUCCUUGUCGGGUAAGUUCCGACCUGCACGAAUGGCGUAAUGAUGGCCAGGCUGUCUCCACCCGAGACUCAGUGAAAUUGAACUCGCUGUGAAGAUGCAGUGUACCCGCGGCAAGACGGAAAGACCCCGUGAACCUUUACUAUAGCUUGACACUGAACAUUGAGCCUUGAUGUGUAGGAUAGGUGGGAGGCUUUGAAGCGUGGACGCCAGUCUGCGUGGAGCCAACCUUGAAAUACCACCCUUUAAUGUUUGAUGUUCUAACGUUGGCCCCUUAUCGGGGUUGCGGACAGUGUCUGGUGGGUAGUUUGACUGGGGCGGUCUCCUCCCAAAGAGUAACGGAGGAGCACGAAGGUUAGCUAAUCCUGGUCGGACAUCAGGAGGUUAGUGCAAUGGCAUAAGCUAGCUUGACUGCGAGCGUGACGGCGCGAGCAGGUGCGAAAGCAGGUCAUAGUGAUCCGGUGGUUCUGAAUGGAAGGGCCAUCGCUCAACGGAUAAAAGGUACUCCGGGGAUAACAGGCUGAUACCGCCCAAGAGUUCAUAUCGACGGCGGUGUUUGGCACCUCGAUGUCGGCUCAUCACAUCCUGGGGCUGAAGUAGGUCCCAAGGGUAUGGCUGUUCGCCAUUUAAAGUGGUACGCGAGCUGGGUUUAGAACGUCGUGAGACAGUUCGGUCCCUAUCUGCCGUGGGCGCUGGAGAAUUGAGGGGGGCUGCUCCUAGUACGAGAGGACCGGAGUGGACGCAUCACUGGUGUUCGGGUUGUCAUGCCAAUGGCAUUGCCCGGUAGCUAAAUGCGGAAGAGAUAAGUGCUGAAAGCAUCUAAGCACGAAACUUGCCCCGAGAUGAGUUCUCCCUGACUCCUUGAGAGUCCUGAAGGAACGUUAAAGACGAUGACGUUGAUAGGUCGGGUGUGUAAGCGUAGCGAUACGUUGAGCUAACCGAUACUAAUGAACCGUGAGGCUUAACCUU